CAGUCGCCGCGAGAAUACGUAGGGUGCAAGCGUUAAUCGGAAUUACUGGGCGUAAGGCGUGCGCAGGCGGUUUUGUAAGACAGGCGUGAAAUCCCCGGGCUCAACCUGGGAAUGGCGCUUGUGACUGCAAAGCUAGAGUGCGGCAGAGGGGGAUGGAAUUCCGCGUGUAGCAGUGAAAUGCGUAGAUAUGCGGAGGAACACCGAUGGCGAAGGCAAUCCCCUGGGCCUGCACUGACGCUCAUGCACGAAAGCGUGGGGAGCAAACAGGAUUAGAUACCCCUGUAGUCCCUGUCUCUUAUAC
rnacentral:rRNA from 1 species